rnacentral:rRNA from 1 species
AUUGAACGCUGGCGGCAGGCCUAACACAUGCAAGUCGAGCGGAUGACAGGAGCUUGCUCCUGAAUUCAGCGGCGGACGGGUGAGUAAUGCCUAGGAAUCUGCCUGGUAGUGGGGGACAACGUUUCGAAAGGAACGCUAAUACCGCAUACGUCCUACGGGAGAAAGCAGGGGACCUUCGGGCCUUGCGCUAUCAGAUGAGCCUAGGUCGGAUUAGCUAGUUGGUGAGGUAAUGGCUCACCAAGGCGACGAUCCGUAACUGGUCUGAGAGGAUGAUCAGUCACACUGGAACUGAGACACGGUCCAGACUCCUACGGGAGGCAGCAGUGGGGAAUAUUGGACAAUNGGCGAAAGCCUGAUCCAGCCAUGCCGCGUGUGUGAAGAAGGUCUUCGGAUUGUAAAGCACUUUAAGUUGGGAGGAAGGGCAUUAACCUAAUACGUUAGUGUUUUGACGUUACCGACAGAAUAAGCACCGGCU